rnacentral:rRNA from 1 species
UUUAUGGAGAGUUUGAUCCUGGCUCAGGAUGAACGCUGGCGGCGUGCCUAAUACAUGCAAGUCGAGCGAACGGACGAGAAGCUUGCUUCUCUGAUGUUAGCGGCGGACGGGUGAGUAACACGUGGAUAACCUACCUAUAAGACUGGGAUAACUUCGGGAAACCGGAGCUAAUACCGGAUAAUAUUUUGAACCGCAUGGUUCAAAAGUGAAAGACGGUCUUGCUGUCACUUAUAGAUGGAUCCGCGCUGCAUUAGCUAGUUGGUAAGGUAACGGCUUACCAAGGCAACGAUGCAUAGCCGACCUGAGAGGGUGAUCGGCCACACUGGAACUGAGACACGGUCCAGACUCCUACGGGAGGCAGCAGUAGGGAAUCUUCCGCAAUGGGCGAAAGCCUGACGGAGCAACGCCGCGUGAGUGAUGAAGGUCUUCGGAUCGUAAAACUCUGUUAUUAGGGAAGAACAUAUGUGUAAGUAACUGUGCACAUCUUGACGGUACCUAAUCAGAAAGCCACGGCUAACUACGUGCCAGCAGCCGCGGUAAUACGUAGGUGGCAAGCGUUAUCCGGAAUUAUUGGGCGUAAAGCGCGCGUAGGCGGUUUUUUAAGUCUGAUGUGAAAGCCCACGGCUCAACCGUGGAGGGUCAUUGGAAACUGGAAAACUUGAGUGCAGAAGAGGAAAGUGGAAUUCCAUGUGUAGCGGUGAAAUGCGCAGAGAUAUGGAGGAACACCAGUGGCGAAGGCGACUUUCUGGUCUGUAACUGACGCUGAUGUGCGAAAGCGUGGGGAUCAAACAGGAUUAGAUACCCUGGUAGUCCACGCCGUAAACGAUGAGUGCUAAGUGUUAGGGGGUUUCCGCCCCUUAGUGCUGCAGCUAACGCAUUAAGCACUCCGCCUGGGGAGUACGACCGCAAGGUUGAAACUCAAAGGAAUUGACGGGGACCCGCACAAGCGGUGGAGCAUGUGGUUUAAUUCGAAGCAACGCGAAGAACCUUACCAAAUCUUGACAUCCUUUGACAACUCUAGAGAUAGAGCUUUCCCCUUCGGGGACAAAGUGACAGGUGGUGCAUGGUUGUCGUCAGCUCGUGUCGUGAGAUGUUGGGUUAAGUCCCGCAACGAGCGCAACCCUUAAGCUUAGUUGCCAUCAUUAAGUUGGGCACUCUAAGUUGACUGCCGGUGACAAACCGGAGGAAGGUGGGGAUGACGUCAAAUCAUCAUGCCCCUUAUGAUUUGGGCUACACACGUGCUACAAUGGACAAUACAAAGGGCAGCGAAACCGCGAGGUCAAGCAAAUCCCAUAAAGUUGUUCUCAGUUCGGAUUGUAGUCUGCAACUCGACUACAUGAAGCUGGAAUCGCUAGUAAUCGUAGAUCAGCAUGCUACGGUGAAUACGUUCCCGGGUCUUGUACACACCGCCCGUCACACCACGAGAGUUUGUAACACCCGAAGCCGGUGGAGUAACCUUUUAGGAGCUAGCCGUCGAAGGUGGGACAAAUGAUUGGGGUGAAGUCGUAACAAGGUAGCCGUAUCGGAAGGUGCGGCUGGAUCACCUCCUUUCU